GCGAACGCUGGCGGCGUACUUAACACAUGCAAGUCGAACGAGGGGCCCUGGGGUGGCAACACUCCGGGGUUUCGAGUGGCGCACGGGUGAGUAACACGUGGGCAACCUGCCCCGGGGACCGGGAUACCCGCUCGAAAGGGCGGCUAAUACUGGAUACGUUCUUCUGGUUGCGAGACUGGGGGAAGAAAGGUGGCCGCAAGGCGACCAUCCUGGGAGGGGCUCGCGGCCUAUCAGCUAGUUGGUGGGGUGAUGGCCUACCAAGGCGAUGACGGGUAGCUGGUCUGAGAGGACGACCAGCCACACGGGGACUGAGACACGGCCCCGACUCCUACGGGAGGCAGCAGUGGGGAAUCUUCCGCAAUGGGCGCAAGCCUGACGGAGUGACGCCGCGUGGGGGACGAAGGCCUUCGGGUCGUAAACCCCUGUCAGGAGGAAAGAAGGGCUCUACGGUGAACAGCCGUGGGGCUUGACGGUACCUUCAGAGGAAGCCCCGGCCAACUCUGUGCCAGCAGCCGCGGUAAGACAGAGGGGGCAAGCGUUGCUCGGAAUCACUGGGCGUAAAGGGCGCGUAGGCGGGCGGAGAAGUCGGUCGUGAAAUCUCCGGGCCCAACCUGGAGGGGCCGGCCGAGACUCCUUGUCUUGAGGGGCGCAGAGGAGCCUGGAAUUCCCGGUGUAGCGGUGAAAUGUGUAGAGAUCGGGAGGAACACCGGUGGCGAAGGCGGGGCUCUGGGCGCACCCUGACGCUGAGGCGCGAAAGCGUGGGGAGCAAACGGGAUUAGAUACCCCGGUAGUCCACGCGGUAAACGAUGACGACUAGGUGUGGGGGGGUUCAGUCCCUUCCGUGCCGCAGCUAACGCAUUAAGUCGUCCGCCUGGGGAGUACGGCCGCAAGGUUGAAACUCAAAGGAAUUGACGGGGGCCCGCACAAGCGGUGGAGCAUGUGGUUCAAUUCGAUGCAGAGCGAAGAACCUUACCUGGGCUUGACAUGUACCGGAAAGCUGCAGAGAUGUAGCCCCCGCAAGGUCGGUAUACAGGUGGUGCAUGGCUGUCGUCAGCUCGUGUCGUGAGAUGUUGGGUUAAGUCCCGCAACGAGCGCAACCCUCGUCCUAUGUUGCCAGCGGAUAAUGCCGGGGACUCAUAGGAGACUGCCGGGGUCAACUCGGAGGAAGGUGGGGAUGACGUCAAGUCAUCAUGCCCCUUAAGUCCAGGGCUUCACGCAUGCUACAAUGGCUGGUACAAAGGGCUGCGAAACCGCAAGGUCGAGCGAAUCCCAAAAAGCCAGACUCAGUUCGGAUUGGGGUCUGCAACUCGACCCCAUGAAGUCGGAGUCGCUAGUAAUCGCAGAUCAGCAACGCUGCGGGAAUACGUUCCCGG
rnacentral:rRNA from 1 species